GACGAACGCUGGCGGCGUGCUUAGCACAUGCAAGUCGAACGGUGAAAGCGGAGCUUGCUCCGCUGGAUCAGUGGCGAACGGGUGAGUAACACGUGGGCAACCUGCCCCUCACUUCGGGAUAACUCCGGGAAACCGGGGCUAAUACCGGAUAUGACCUCCUUGGGCAUCCUUGGAGGUGGAAAGUUUUUCGGUGAGGGAUGGGCCCGCGGCCUAUCAGCGUGUUGGUGAGGUAGUGGCUCACCAAGGCGACGACGGGUAGCCGGCCUGAGAGGGCGACCGGCCACACUGGGACGGGGACACGGCCCAGAAUCCUCCGGGAGGGAGCAGUGGGGAAUAUUGCGCAAUGGGCGAAAGCCUGACGCAGCAACGCCGCGUGCGGGAUGACGGCCUUCGGGUUGUAAACCGCUUUCAGCAGGGAAGAAGCCGCAAGGUGACGGUACCUGCAGAAGAAGCACCGGCUAACUACGUGCCAGCCGCCGCGGUAA
rnacentral:rRNA from 1 species